AUGUAUAGCAAUAGCUGAUUGCACCAACAAAUAGUUGAUGCAAUAUUGACUCUGUCAAAUAAAAUUCUAGGUAGAAUUAUGAUAAUGACAUUGUCUGCCUAUAUGUCUUGACCAAAUUACGUGCCAGCAGUCGCGGUAAUACGUAGAAGACUAGUGUUAUUCAUCUUUAAUAGGUUUAAAGGGUACCUAGACGGUAAAUCAAGCCUUCACAGGGACUAAUUUACUAGAGUUACUUACGAGGGGGUAUUAAAGUACUGCAGGUGUAGAGAUGAAAUUCUGUCAUACCUCUUUUCAAAAGAAAAAUUAUGGCACAGGUAUAGGUGAAAGCAUCCCCUUAUGUGAUAACUGACGUUGAAGGACGAAGGCUUUGUGUCGCGAACAGGAUUAGAUACCCCAGUAGUCAAAGCAGAAAAUGAUGAAUGUCAUAGAUUAGAUAAAUAGUUUAUUCUAUAAAUGAAAAUGUAAGCAUUCCACCUCAAGAGUAAUUUGGCAACAUUGGAACUGAAAUCAUUAGACCGUUUCUGAAACCAGUAGUGAAGUAUGUUGUUUAAUUUGAUGAUCCGCAAAAAACCUUACCACAAUUUGAAUAUUUAUAUCUAUCUUUUUUUUUCGUAAAAAAAUAAAAAGGUAAUAUAUUUACAAGCGUUGCACGGCUGUCUUCAGUUAAUGUCGCGAGACUUUGGUUAGUUCCAUUAAAUUAACGUAAACCCUUACUUUAUUUUUAUAUGAAGUAGUUCCCCGCUAUAUUGGAUAUG
rnacentral:rRNA from 1 species